GCAAAAUUAGUUUAAUGAUAAAACAUGUCCUUGCCAAGGACAAGACACGGGUUUGAUUCCCGUAUUUUGCUCCA
rnacentral:tRNA from 1 species